rnacentral:ncRNA from 2 species
CUGCUAAAAGGGAAUGGGACUUCCCUGUCAUAAACCGCUAAGAAAAUAGCUGAUAGUUCCUGUCGUGAG